GGAAACUUAGCAAAGGUGGUCUAUGCGGGGGACUGAAAAUCCUUAGAUAAUGGUUCAACUCCAUUAGUUUCCAC
rnacentral:tRNA from 1 species